rnacentral:rRNA from 1 species
UGGGGAAUUUUGGACAAUGGGCGAAAGCCUGAUCCAGCAAUGCCGCGUGUGUGAAGAAGGCCUUCGGGUUGUAAAGCACUUUUGUCCGGAAAGAAAUCCUUGGCUCUAAUACAGUCGGGGGAUGACGGUACCGGAAGAAUAAGCACCGGCUAACUACGUGCCAGCAGCCGCGGUAAUACGUAGGGUGCAAGCGUUAAUCGGAAUUACUGGGCGUAAAGCGUGCGCAGGCGGUUUGCUAAGACCGAUGUGAAAUCCCCGGGCUCAACCUGGGAACUGCAUUGGUGACUGGCAGGCUAGAGUAUGGCAGAGGGGGGUAGAAUUCCACGUGUAGCAGUGAAAUGCGUAGAGAUGUGAGGAAUACCGAUGGCGAAGGCAGCCCCCUGGGCCAAUACUGACGCUCAUGCACGAAAGCGUGGGGAGCAAAACAGGAUUAGAUACCCUGGUAGUCCACGCCCUAAACGAUGUCAACUAGUUGUUGGGGAUUCAUUCCUUAGUAACGUAGCUAACGCGUGAAGUUGACCGCCUGGGGAGUACGGUCGCAAGAUUAAAACUCAAAGGAAUUGACGGGGUCAUAGCUGUUUCCU